rfam:Camelus ferus unplaced genomic scaffold scaffold398, whole genome shotgun sequence.
GAGGGUAUAGCUCAAAUGGUAGAGCAUAUGCUUAGCGUGCACAAGGUCCUGGGUUUACUCCCCAGUACCUCCU